ACGCAACGUGGAGUUCUCAAAUAUGGUAUCAAGUUUUCGUGUUUCUGAACUACAAGUGUUGUUGGGGUUUGCUGGACGUAAUAAAAGUGGACGGAAACAUGACCUCCUGAUGAGGGCACUGCACUUACUGAAGAGCGGCUGCAGCCCAGCAGUUCAGAUAAAAAUCAGAGAACUCUAUAGGCGUCGGUACCCAAGGACGAUUGAAGGACUUUCAGACUUAUCGGCUAUAAAACCCGCAGUUUUCAAUUUGGACAGUAGUUCCUCUCCUGUCGAGCCUGACCUGGCUGUUGCUGGCAUUCACCCACUCCCUUCUACUUCGGUCACGCCUCAGUCUCCUUCCUCACCUGUCAGUUCUGUGCUCCUCCAAGACACUAAGCCCCAUUUUGAGAUGCAGCAGCCAUCCCCUCCGAUUCCACCCGUUCAUCCCGAUGUUCAACUGAAAAGCCUACCUUUUUACGAUGUGCUUGAUGUGCUCAUAAAACCUACAAGUCUAGUACAGAGCAGUAUUCAGAGGUUCCAAGAGAAGUUUUUUAUCUUUGCUUUAACACCUCAGCAGGUCAGAGAAAUCUGUAUUUCCAGGGACUUCUUGCCAGGGGGCAGGAGAGAUUACACAGUCCAAGUUCAGCUAAGGUUAUGCCUAGCAGAGACAAGCUGCCCUCAAGAAGAUAAUUACCCUAAUAGUUUGUGUAUUAAAGUAAAUGGGAAGCUGUUUCCUUUGCCGGGAUACGCUCCACCGCCAAAAAAUGGAAUUGAACAGAAGCGACCUGGGCGCCCCUUGAAUAUAACAUCUCUAGUUAGGUUGUCCUCAGCAGUGCCAAACCAGAUUUCCAUUUCUUGGGCUUCUGAAAUUGGAAAGAAUUACUCCAUGUCUGUGUAUCUCGUUCGUCAGCUCACUUCAGCUAUGCUUUUGCAGAGGUUAAAAAUGAAAGGUAUCCGAAACCCCGAUCAUUCCAGAGCACUAAUUAAAGAAAAACUAACUGCAGAUCCUGAUAGUGAGAUUGCCACGACCAGUCUGCGGGUAUCUCUGAUGUGUCCUCUGGGAAAAAUGAGACUGACAAUCCCGUGCCGGGCUGUUACUUGCACACACCUGCAAUGUUUUGAUGCUGCUCUUUAUCUCCAAAUGAAUGAAAAGAAGCCUACCUGGAUCUGCCCUGUCUGUGACAAAAAGGCAGCUUACGAGAGCCUAAUAUUAGAUGGGCUCUUUAUGGAAAUCCUUAAUGAAUGUUCAGAUGUGGAUGAGAUCAAAUUCCAAGAAGAUGGCUCCUGGUGCCCCAUGAGGCCAAAGAAAGAAGCUGUGAAAGUCUCAAGUCCACAGUGCACCAAAAUAGAAAGUUCCAGUGUUGUUAGCAAACCAUGUUCCGUGACGGUGGCCAGUGAGGUAAACAAGAAGAAAGUUGACGUUAUUGACUUGACAAUAGAAAGCUCUUCUGAUGAAGAAGAGGAGCCGCCUGCCAAAAGGAAGUGCAUAUUUAUGUCUGAAACACAAGGAAGCCCAACCAAAGGGGUUCUCAUGUAUCAGCCAUCUACUGUCAGAGUGCCCAGUGUGACAACGGUCGAUGCUGCUGCUAUUCCUCCUUCAUUAACAGACUACCCAGUACCAUUCCAUCACCCACCAAUAUCCAGUAUGUCAUCAGACUUGCCAGGUAGGUGGUGGCUAUUUUUAAUGGGUCUUCUGACAGCCUUUUUAAUUUUGCGGGGUGGGUAAAAAUUGCAGAAUUGAUCAACUUUUUUUUUUUUUUUUUUUUUUAAUGGAACGAGACUAUAUGCAGUAUUGCACUGAUGCGAUGUCUAGACCAGUCCAGUCCAGGCUGUCUUUCCAAUUUCAGACUGCACUUUGCAACAGCGAUGUGAAAAAACCAACCAACCAAAAUAAAAAAAAAACCAAAACAAACCCAAAAAAACCCCCAAACAGUUGCUUCUGGGGUACCAAUUGGCACUUUGGAAUGGCAGCCAGAAACGCUUCUCGCUAUAUUCAGUUAGACUUUGUGUAAACGUCUGGUUGUUAGGUGUUGUGGAUGCGAGGGAGAGUAGCUGCUUGUUGAAGUGAUAGGCGUGUGGUGGCACUGACUCGUCCCAGCCCUAGGUGGUAGAGAUGCUCUGCUAGCUGAUUCGAGUGGUGCUCUGUCUAGACUGUAUGAAAAAGGUUAAGGUGAGCUACGAUAUGUAAGCUGACCUCUAUUGACUUUCUUUACCUAGACAUUCCCUAAAUGCCUAUGAUGUAUUCUUCAACACUGCUGCUAAAUAUCAGACAAAAGGUGGGGAUACUGAUUGUUUUCUACCCUGGCUCCUUGAAAAGAACACUGUAUAUAGGGACUCUGGGGGUUUCUCUUUGCCGGCUGUAACGAACCCAGAGCCCGGGAAAUGGUGACUUGUGGUCACAGGUGUCACACUGGCCUCCUGUACUUCCCUCUCCCCCCUCCAUUGCCUGUCUCCAUUUCUCCCCUGCAACGUCUCUGGGUUUUUUCCUCUUCUUUCAGCACCAGUUUGGCAAUGGGAUGGAUAUCAUUCCCCUUGUUUCUCUCUCCAUUUUGGUUCCCUUACUGCUCCCUCCCUCCACUUCUCCCUUGUUAAGAAAGCGGUUGCCUUCCCAAAUUGGAUAGGAGCGUGAGCUGAGAGAAUGGAAGUCUAGAACUGCUGUCCUCCUCUAUCGACUGAAGUUCUAGAGAACAUGCAAGAACAAAAGGAGCUGUCAGUGCUGUAAAAGCAGCUGAGCUUAAAUCUCCUUCACAAUUUUUCUCUUUAACGGAGAAGAGGAGGAGAGAUGUCACUGGCCAGAACAGAUCUGGAGGCGAGGGAAGAGGGAGGGAGUAAGUUUACCAUUUCUUUCUGUUGACAUAGCAAACACAAGGCCAAUAUUUAGAGAAAAAAAAAAAAAAAAAAAACAAACCAAAAAGGCUGUAAUUUCUCAUUGGUUUCCUAAUUUUAAACAUCUUGCCCUAAAUGCUUACACGCUAAUGGUGUAUAAGACGGACGCUAGUUGUCGCUGCUCUUAGAGGAUAUACGUUGAACUACUUGUAGUUUCCUCUUCUUCGUUCCUUUUAUUUGUCUAGACACAAAACGGGGAUGAUAUUAGAAAUGUUUCCUUAUUGGCUGCCCGUGGGUGGAGGAAGAGACCUGCUGCUUGUUUUUGGACUUGUGCAUGUUGUGACUUUACUUCAUUCCAGCAUCUUUAAUGUGAUGACACUCUUCAUGUCCCAGUGUGGCCGAGUCAGGUCUGGAUUUUCUUUCACUAAUCCCAGUUGAUUCACAGUCUCACCUCAACCUUAACAAGCAGCA